GUCACCAACACAAGCACCUGAGUGGAUGCCUUGGAUCAACGGACAGGGAACUUGGGAAUCAGCUUCUUGGGGCAAGAUCACCUCUUCUAUUUGACCCAUAUGGAUGGUUUCACCAUCUUUCCCAGGCUGGUCUUGUACUCCUAGGCUUAAGCGAUCCACUUGGCUUGGCCUCCCAAAGUGCUGAUAUUACAGCCUACCUACGGACAAAUGGUAUGAAGAAGGACGGGGAAAAGUGAGCUGGGGCAGAUGGAAGCCUCAAGUCUGACAAAGUGAAUCUUUCAUCCUCUUCACAAUACCUAGGAUGUCUUGUAUCCUGGGAGAUACAAGGCAUUUUUUUGUUGUUGCCUCAGUUUUUAAUGUUCAAAUGCUGCUGUGGCUAAGAGUAAGGCUGCAGAUUCUCUGUGCUGCCAUCUUGAAUUCCCACCUGCUCUCCCUCUUGGGAUCCUUUUGACCUCCACAAUAUUUAUCUGCUAAGAGACAAUGAGGCCAUGAGUCCUGCAGCCCACACUUCUUCAGACAAUUUAUAUUUUUGGAUGAGAUCUCCAGAAGGGCAUUGCUCACCUCUUCUAUAUUUUGCAAACAAUUCUAGAAUCUUAAUCAAAGAACCAUUGGCUACACAUUGGCUACACACUGGCUACAUUGCUCAAAAAGUUGGCAUUUUAGGGACAACGUACUCCGCUUGAGAUCCAAGCUGGUGGAGUUUUUCUUUGCUUAGUAUCCUCCACCAUCUAGGUUUUAAACUAGAUGUUGUUUGGCAGGUGUGUCCCAUAGCUUUCGGUUUGUGGUGGUGCUUCCCUUGUGUCAUCUUCUCUCUUAUUCUCAUUCCUUUUUAAAAAUGUUAUUAUUUUUGGUAGGUUUAAGAGUUGAGCAUCAAGCAAAAAUGUACUUUCUUAACCAUCUUCAAAUGAACAAUUCCUGUGACUUUUAGAUUAAGAGAGAUGAUAAUCUAGGGCUUCUAUAUCUCCCGAUUUUAAUUGUAAGACAGAUGCAAAUUUAGCUUAAGAAUUUAGGCUAAGAGCCAAGGGAUCGUAGGAUCAAUAUUUAUAUGUGGCCCAAAUAAGUUUUGUCAGGAGGAAUUUGAGCAUAACAAUGAUAAUAUUGACUAUAGCUGCUUGAAUGCCUAUGAUGGUCCAGGAGCUUGGUUGAUGCUUUGCUUAUUUCAAUUCAAAUCCAAACAAGAACCUGCAGCCCACACUUCUCCAGACAAUUUAUAUUCUUGGAUGGGAUCUCCAGAAGGACAUUGCCACCUCUUCUAUAUUUUGCAAACAAUUCUAGAAUCUUAAUCAAAGAACCACUGGCUACACAUAGGCCACAUUGCUGAGGUGAGGUUUGUUAACCCCAUUUUACCAGAGGAAAAAGAGAAAAGUGAGAAUAUGAAAGAUCAGGUGCCUGGAUGAUAAAUCACUGAGCUUGCAUUCAAAAUCAAGUGACUUUCACUUCCUGAUUCCUCCUCCUAUUUUUCUCUAUAGACAAUAUGUGAAGUCUAAAAAUAAAAUUUUAAUUCAGUAGAAGUUUCAGCAAACCCUAGUAAUUUCUUUUUCCUCAUGCCCUUUGCUUUGAGUUUAAUCUCUGUGGCUAUUUUAGCGGCACCUCAUGGGUACUUUUCCCUGGGCUCACUUAUUAUCAGUGUCCAUUCACUAACCAGUGUAUAACGGGAACUGUUAAGUGUGCCUGGAUGAGAAGGGGGCUUUUUUUGUACUUUUAUAGCUAUUAUUGAUGGGUUCAAUAAUUUGGUCUAUUUCCAAUCAAUAUGUUCUAUGCUAGGCUGAAGAGAACCAACUUCAAAAACUUUGUAAAGUUGAACUCUGGCCACAGCAUCCUUUCACUCACUCAGCAAUUGCAAAUAACACAAUGAGAGUGAUUACACACUGUCUUCAUCUUCACAUUCUCUCACUUCCUCAUGGUACAUCUCCUAACCCAGUUUCUUUUCUUGCUGUAUCUGGUGUCGGCUGAGGGGAUAACCUACCACCUGGUUAGGAGAACUGCCCCUCCAGCCCUCCUCUGUGUAUUGAUCUCCAGCAUUCAGUGGGUUCACAGGUGUCUGCCCGCAGAGUCUCUGCUUUGCUUUUGUCAUGGAGGCACGGUGAGUGUUGUGACUCUACAGUCCUUUAGUCUUUUGUAUUUGCUUAAACAUUUAAAAAAGUUUUUUAAUAAAAAAAUGAAUCUAGAGUGAUUAUUUUCACAUCAUCAUUAGAAACAUUUCCAUAGGUGACCAAAAGCUUCAGUGAUAGAAACUAGUAAGACAUUAUUAAGAAAAUGUGCUUAAAUUCAAGUUACAUUUGACCAUUUUCAAAAACUUGCUUUCCUCCUUCUCCCACCAGAAAUAUCUACUUCCCCACCUUAAAACGGUACUUUCAGCUUGACCUCCUCUGGUGGUACAUAGCUUGGUAGCAUUUGGUGCAUAGCAUUUGCCACUUAAUAUUGAACUUACCUAUGUGUGGUUCUGUCUCUCUAAGGUGUUCCUUGAGUUCCCAUCUUCUCUAAGAAGUUUCCACUUGUAUCCUCAGUAUCCAGUCCAGAAACCAGCAAAAAAUUGAUUGUCUAGAGAAUGUUUCCUGCAGGGCAUCAUGAAAAAGCUAAUAUUUAUAGAACACUCUUUGAAAAAACGGCUUCAUGAUUAAAGAGUGGUGGGAGAGGGAACCUGACUGCUUUGUAGCUCCUAAGCCUGCCACACCGUGGGCAGACACCCGUGAACCUACUGAAGGUUGGAGAUUAAUACACAAGAGGAUGGGUGGAGAGGGAGUUCUCCUAACUGCUCCUUGCAGGACCUGACUGUAGCUUCCAGGGUUCCACCCUAGCAGCAGUUCUCUGGGAGGCCAAUCUCAUUACCAGUGGUUCUCAACAUCAAGAUGGUGUGUUGCCAUAUCCAGACCUUGAGUGGACUUUCCAAUGAUCAAGAAGUCAAGUAACCUCUCUCUUCAUGGCUGUUAAAAACUUCGGCCAACAUAGCAUACUCAGUACAGGAUUGGAUUGAGGCAAUGAUACUGUGCUAUAAAAGUGAGAGGCCAUCAUGCAUUUAUACCCACAUCUUGACACAUACACGUCCUAACUUUCCAUGUUCUUUGCUUCUCUACAGAUUUUAUAGAAACUUUAAAUAAAAAUAAGAUAAUAAAAUUCACACCAUAUAAAAUUAUACCAUGUAACAUUUAUAGAUGCCAUUGACAUCUUUGUUUUAAAGAAUGUAAAAGGGCAUUAUAUAUGGGAGUUUUAUAAAAUUCCAAAUUUUCAGCUGACAGGAUGUUCCACCCUCAAACUCAACAAAUGUCAUUUUUUGGCCAAGCAUGGUCAAAGAAAUAAGAGACACAAGAAGAUGUCAUUGGUGUUUCAGGGUCUACUCUUUGAUAGCUGUGUGGAAGAUGAAUUGAAAGGUGAGAGAAAGAUGGAAGAUUCUCGUGAUGGGUGUAGAAGUCAGAGUCCCUGCUCACAAACAACCUUCAUUCAAGUUCCAGGAACUGUCCUUCUGAGGCUCUCACAGCCAUCCUGGGUGUUACCUCUUCUGGUUUUGCCACUGCUUCACAGUGGGACCAGGUGGGAGCAGGAGGCUACGGUUUUUCACACCUAGAAGGGCAUCUGAAGAGCAACUGAUCUAGCCUCUUUAUUUUACAGAUGGAAAAACCAAGGCCAAGGGAAGAAAAUGGCCUGUCCAAACUUCCUGGGUCAGGCUGGCUUAGUGUGAAUAAGGAAACCAGCGUCUGCACCCUCACAGCUGCACUCCCAGCCCCACCAAGGAAACCCAUCUUACUGUGGCCUGAGUGGUAGCCAUUUGAAGAACCUGACCCUCUGGGACUCAGAAUCAACCCCCGUGAUGACUUGUUUCAUGUCCUAGUUUGGGUAACCAUGUUUCUUCUUUGUUCUGGGACGCACACUCAUUUUUAGUUUUAGCUGAAGUUUCUGAGAGUUCUUAUGGAACUGACCACUACCUAAUUCCUUUAGGAAUGAGCUCUAUUCAACCUUAUUAUUUAGGACUAUUCCUUUGGCAGUGAAUUAAACUCAAUGGAGAUGGGCUUAAACUAGAUACAAGGAGACUUGCAGCAGUCCAGAGCUGUAAAGUCCAACGGUGCUUCCAGGGAGCUGCGUAGCAUUAUUCAGGCUUGGUUUCUUUCUAUCUCUCCUCCACGUUGGCUUUCUAUUUAGGGACUCUCUCUCCUUCUGGUGCCCCCUAAGCCAACCCCUAGUUUCAUCUAGUUGCUGGAACUAACUCAGCAAUAUCAUCAGAAAGAAAGCUUCCUUCCCCCCUCCAAAUUCCAGUGCUUUCUCCAUUGGACCCGAGUGAGAGUCACACUCAUCCCCAGGUAUGUGGGAAUGGGGUAAGUCAACCUCACCUGAACCAUAUGGACUGAGAGAGGAAGAGUAAAUUUUCCUAAGAGAAGUCAUGGAUGCUCGUUAUCAGAAAAAGGGGAGAUAGAGUUUGUGUGGGCAAACCAGCAGAUGCUCAAGAUGUCUCUCCUGCCCUCUCUCACCCUGGUUUGGCAUUCUAUCCCUGACUACCCUUGGCCUGGAGUCCGGCCCUGAAGGCUGCCGACAGACCUCUCCAAAUAUGACUGAUCUUAAACACUUUUAAGGAUUAGCUGUUCACUUUUUCUCCUUCAUAUUGGAGUUCUCCACCCUCCCUCUAACAGAGAUGGUCCACCUGGGUUAUCACCUGCUGUUGCUCUACCUUGUGACUCUUAACCAUGAAUAAUGGACAAGAAAGCCUCCCUGCAUGCUCUGCUAUCUACAGACAAAUGGUAUGAAGAAGGACAGGGGCAAAGUGAGCUGGAGCAGAUGGAAAUCUUCUAGUCUUUAUUUCAGAAAAUUUUAUUUUAAGACAGCAUUGAAUAGUUUGUUUGGUUAUUUUCUCCAGGAACACCAAUUAUACAGUCAUCCAAUGGCUCUGUCUGGUCCCAUGUCCCAUUCCUUCCCCGUUAACCCCAACCUGGGUCAAUAAAUGGGGACGGAUCCAACGGGCAUCAGAUCACGACCAAUGCCCCACAGCAAGUAAAUGGCUCCUCUGGGACUUGCAGCCAGUUCUCUAGGCUCACCUGCCCUUUGCACUAUUCCAAAGAGCCAACGACACUGGAAAAUCAAACAAAGAAAUUAACAUAAAGAAGCUCCGAGUGUGAAUAUGUCAGCCAGCCUACAAUCAGAAGAGAAGAAUCAAAAGCAGAAUCAAGGCUGCUAUUGGGCGUUGUCGUUAUAGAUGGGCACCCUCGUACUGCCAUCUGAGGAGCAAGUUCUUUGACAGAUUGCCAUUGCUUUCCUUGGUGUGUCUCUUGCUUCCAUCACUCUUUCUGCAAGAACCCGUUUGGCAUCUACUGCAUGUGAGGUCCUGUGCUGGUGCUGGGAGCGUGACGUUGAAGAGCAAAGCCAAAGUGGUUUCAAGGAGCUUUCAGCCUGGGAAGAGCAGCUGACACUUAUCAACAACCCCUCAUGUGGACAUUAGUUAUGAUGCAGAAUUGUUUUCUUACCUUGGUGCCUUCCAUUGCAUUGCCUUCCUCAUCUCCUAGAUGAUGAAUUUCUCUUGUAAAGUUCUGUCUUGCCUGUGAAAAUAACCCCAAUUGCACAAAGUAGGGGAGAUCAGCCUAAGCCCUGGGUCCUUGGUGGGUGCUGUGCACACCUCCGUGGAAGCACUCCCACAUUCUGUGGCAGUCUUACUGCCCCUUUGUUCAAUGGAGUGGCUUGUCCACACUAAGAGGGGAGGUAAGUCUGAUUCAGCACUGAAAACCCAGCACCAAUAGGGCAAGUGGCAUAAGUGAGAAUUCAAAAACGAUUUAUUGAUUGUAUAAAUUAAUAUCUGAUGUUUAAGGGAGUGAAUUUUCUUUUUCUGAAUUUACUAUGUAUAACCGACCUGAAUGAUAACUGUCUUCUCAUAAAUAAUGGAUAGCAGUCAUUUUAGGGGCUCCACAAAUCUCAGAAUUGAUCACAUUGCUCUUUUUCUGUGGCCUCUAGGAAGCUCAGAGCCUACUUUUAGCAAAAUAUGGAACCAUCUGGCUUGCAUUUUCAGUUACUUACCUAAGCAAUAGUUUUUUUUUCCUUCUUACUAUAGGAUCACACUGAUUUCUUUCCAUGCUAUUCUAUUCUAUAGAAUAGAAUUGAAACCACUUUUGCUAUGCUAUUCUAUUCCAUAGCAUAAACAUGGAAAGAAAGGAGAGUUAAUAGACAUCUUUUAAAGUGAUCUGGUUAUUAGAGUCAUCUGGGUGGCCGUACUCCUUAAGUUGCUUAGUCAUUGACUGCAGAGUCAUAGCAUAUUCAUAAAUGAUAACGUUCCUUCUCUUAUUCUCCCUGAGGGUCUCUUAGGCAAAAUACGGUAUUGUACACAAGCACAUUCAGAUAAAAAAUCCUAUAGUUGGUGAUAACUUCGAGUGAUAGAAUCUUAAUAAACUUCCUGUGUUUGAUUGGGUGAGAUAACUAGAGAUACAUAUCAUGUGUGAUCGCUGCACGACAGAAGAUAAGCUGGUCAUUAUUUUCAGAUAAAAAUGCCCAUCCAUCCACAGAUUGCAAUCAGGGGGCUGCCAUGCAGUUCUUGGUCUAUUCCAGUUAAUUAAAUGCUAAAUGAAAUUCAGAAUUCUGGCUUCUAGAGAUUCAACAAUCUGUUGCCAUGUGCUGCAAAGUCACAGAAUACAGUCCGAGAGCUUUCCUGAGGGGCUAGUAGUUGCUCAAGAAAUACUCAUUCCCUUCUGUUGAGAUCUCCUCUACAAAGCCAAAUGGGGUGAUGUCUGAGCCCUCUUCUUCCUCUGACAGAUGUGAGUGAAAGGUGUUUGCCAGUGGGGUGGGUGAGGGGUCUGGAAAGAACUCUGCGUCCCAUUCUACCUGCUGUGGGGUCAUCAUUCCUGAGCUCCCAUUUUGUGCGCUGAAAACAUGAAGCGUAUUUAGAUGAAAAUGAGAGAAAAAGAUCUAUUAUAACAAUUCUCUAUGUUGGAAUACUGUCCUGAUUUUUCUGUCUCCAGGAAUCAGAAUCAGGCAGUCUCUACUGGGCCUUGAUACCUACCCCUAACUAUAUGUAGUUUUCCGCUGAAAUGAGCACUAGCCAUUAUUACUGAGCACCUAUCAAUGUCAAGUGCUGAGCUAACUAUUUCAAACUCAAGUUCAUCCUCACAACAUCCCUACAUGGAAAGUAUUAUCACCCACAUGAUUCUGAAGCUCAGAAAUGGUAAGCAAGUUGCCUAGGGUCACCCCACUAGCAAGUGGUAGACCUAGGAUUCAUAUGUGUGCCUAUUUAAUUAAUAAUAUUAUUUAAAUAUUAAAUAACAAUUAAACCUACCAUUGGAAUUAUUUAUUCAAUAAAUACAUCAUUGAAUAUCAACUCCAUGCCAGGCACUGUACUAGGGGCUGACGUGAGAACUGUGUAUAGUUUGCAGUACUGGCUGCUGUCAUAUGAUCUAUAAAAAUAC
rnacentral:lncRNA from 1 species